GUGAGGCAUGCUCAUCCUGAUGAGAACUAGUCUCCAAGCCCACCUGGUGGACAAGGACUGAGAACUGCCAUCAAAUGGAAACUCAGGAAGAAGCAGGGAGCUUGGAUGUGGGCACCACCAACCUCCACCACAGCAGUGAAGGGUAACAAAGCACCUUUCUAACUCUCCAUGAAAAAUGUGGUAACUGCAAAGGUGCUUCAUCAUGUUACACAGGGCAGGGACCAAAAAAGUAUGCUUGGCUUCCUAAAAUGCACAUAGUAACAGAAAACUUCCAAGGCUACAAAGGCUCUUUUUUCCCCAUUUCUUUUCUUUUUUUUUUUUUUUUUUGCCAUUUCUUGGGCCGCUCCUGCGGCAUAUGGAGGUUCCCAGGCUAGGGGUCAAAUCGGAGCUGUAGCCACCGGCCUACGCCAGAGCCACAGCAACGCGAGAUCCAAGCCGCGUCUGCAACCUACACCACAGCUCACGGCAACGCCGGAUCCUUAACCCACUGAGCAAGGGCAGGGACCGAACCCGCAACCUCAUGGUUCCUAGUCGGAUUCGUUAACCACUGCGCCACGACGGGAACUCCCCCAUUUCUUUUUAAUUGUAGUAAAAUAUAUAUAAUAUUAAAACUUAUCAUCUUAAUCAUUUUUAAGUAUAUAGUUUAACGUAUUAAGUACAUUCAUACUGUUGUGCUACUAAUAUCAAGAACUCUUUUUAUAACCCCAGAGUAAUAAGUUAACAUUCAAAAAAGUUAAUAAAAUCUAUGUAAAGACUAUGUACAUUUUUUAAAGAGUUCUGUGACCAUAAUGUUACUUUGGUUUCAGAUUAAUUUUCAGUAACUGACCAUUAUUGAGGGGUAUUACUUAUGUUUCUGCCUGUUUUAAUUGUAGUAAAAUAUAUAACUCUGGACCAGAAUCCGGUGAGCCCAAAGAGUCUGCAUAAAUGAGAGAGGUGUGGCAAGGCAUCGUAAGCUCUCUGAGGACAGAUGAGCUUGUGUCUUAUUCAUCCACAGCAUGGAGAACCACAGCUAUGUACUGCUUGACAAAGAAUGGAAAAAAGAACAAAGAUACCCACUACAGAGUUACCCUGGUGACCCAGCC
rnacentral:lncRNA from 1 species